rnacentral:rRNA from 1 species
CGUCAGCUCGUGUCGUGAGAUGUUGGGUUAAGUCCCGCAACGAGCGCAACCCCUUAUCCCUAGUUGCCAUCAGGUAAAGCUGGGGAACUCUGGGGAGACUGCCGGUGAUAAACCGGAGGAAGGCGGGGAUGACGUCAAGUCCUCAUGGCCCUUACAUCCCGGGCUACACACGUGCUACAAUGGCAGGUACAGAGGGCUACGAAGCCGCGAGGUGGAGCGAAUCCCAGAAAACCUGUCUCAGUCCGGAUUGAAGUCUGCAACUCGACUUCAUGAAGGCGGAAUCGCUAGUAACCGCGAAUCAGCAGGUCCGCGGUCGAAUACGUUCCCGGGCCUU